rnacentral:rRNA from 1 species
AGUGAACGCUGGCGGUAGGCCUAACACAUGCAAGUCGAACGGCAGCACAGUAAGAGCUUGCUCUUACGGGUGGCGAGUGGCGGACGGGUGAGGAAUACAUCGGAAUCUACUUUUUCGUGGGGGAUAACGUAGGGAAACUUACGCUAAUACCGCAUACGACCUACGGGUGAAAGCAGGGGAUCUUCGGACCUUGCGCGAUUGAAUGAGCCGAUGUCGGAUUAGCUAGUUGGCGGGGUAAAGGCCCACCAAGGCGACGAUCCGUAGCUGGUCUGAGAGGAUGAUCAGCCACACUGGAACUGAGACACGGUCCAGACUCCUACGGGAGGCAGCAGUGGGGAAUAUUGGACAAAGGGCGCAAGCCUGAUCCAGCCAUACCGCGUAGGUGAAGAAGGCCUUCGGGUUGUAAAGCCCUUUUGUUGGGAAAGAAAAGCAGCAGGUUAAUACCCCGCUGUUCUGACGGUACCCAAGGAAUAAGCACCGGCUAACUUCGUG